UGCACGACGCGCUGCAAUUUCAUUGGUACACGUAAACACUGUCAUGAUCGUGUGCAGGAUUGGACAAAACAAGAUGGCAGACGGCAUUUCCAAAUAAAGGUAUCAAGCCCUAGAACUUCAUUCCAUGAGAUGGGUACACUUCGAAUGUGCGAAAUUUGUGGUGAGGAAUUCAAGACCAAUUCUGAAUUGCGUAGGAAUGUAAAAAGGAAACAUCAAUCAGAGAAAUUGUCUUCGUUUGUGACCAGUGUAACACACGCGUUUGCACAUUAUAAAAGAAACACGAAGUAAAAAAAAUUACAUUGUUUUCUGAUACACGAGGUGCAUACAUAUACCAUGGCAGUCGUUUUAUAUAUCCGUUUGUUCUAUAUGUACAUUAUGAAACGAUUAUUUUUACGGUAUUAUGCUUUGUUUUACAGAGAUACUACUAAUCUUUUACAUUGCAUUUUACACAUGCCGAUUUGUCAUUUCAUUGAACCAGAAGUGUUCUUAAGUUUUACUUAAUUGUUACUAAAUAUAUUUCAAUGUUAU